CAUGCCCCUAGAGGCGUUACACUUGUGGCUGUCAUGCCAUAUGCGUGUCAUUAGGUGGCAGAGAGGAAGAGGCUGCGUCUACGCUCAGUUGUUCUGAAACCUGUGAGCACUCAGAAUGAUUAGUAGCCUAACAUU
rfam:Chelonia mydas contig196020, whole genome shotgun sequence.